rnacentral:lncRNA from 1 species
UUAUUUUGUGCUAUUUUAAGUAUCUUAAUGUAUAGUUAUUAACUGUUGUUAAAGUAUUGAGCUUUUAUGUGUUUGUUGUAGCCUAUUUAGUUUUAUAAAUAUCAGCACAGACUGUGAUAUCAGUGCCACUUUCAGUUGUACUUGUGUGCAAGUUGAACAGCAUUUCAAGCAAUUUUUCACCUUUUUAUUCAUUGUAUGCAAGUUUUACAUAAUCUAGACUAGAAUCGUUUGAUGCUGUGAUUCGAGCAAGGAAAAACUUGUUGAGUGAGAGUUGUAGUUUGGUGGAUAGUGAGUUAUGGCGCUUGGUUGAUGAGGUUGAUCCGUUGAUGGUCUUAGGAUCUUGUCCUUUAGUUUCAAUCCGAAUCAAACUUACAUGUAGACAUGGGAAAAGUGGGAGACAACAUGUAAAGGCAAUCAGACAUGUGGACUUGUGGAAGGAGCAAGAAUUAUGAAAUGGAAGAUUUUAUUCAUUCACCGAAGAAACGAGUCAAAUGACUCAAAUGUCAAUUGGUAUACAACCCAUCCCCAGCAACGUCAACCUGCAGAAGGAAAGGCCAGUUUGCAUGUCCUUGUCCUUCCUUCGCGCUCGAAGGUCACGGGGACUUUACGUUAUCAAACGUGUCAUGCAGUACUGUAGAGGUUGGACCCAUCCCCAGCAACGUCAACCUGCAGAAGGAAAGGCCAGCAGUUUGCAUUAUCCUUGACACUCGAAGGUCACCGAGAUCAUUACGAAAAACGUGUCAUGCAGUGGUGUAGAGGCUGGGUGAGAACGGGACGUUUUGCAUAAUUAUCAAGUAGGUACAAUAGCCGCAAGGCUUGAGUUGAGAGGUCAGGGUUUGAAAAAGUCGUAUAAAAGGAGAGAGAAGAGACGAAAGAAAUCAGUCGAUGGAGCAUCUCCGACACAGCAACAACUUCAGCCUUUUAAUUGUCAUCAUCUGCCUUCUUCAUAGCAUUACCAGUACGCAAUCAUGGUUAACUAUGGCGUUGUGUUGCUGUUUGGUGUUUAUCGUCGAUGUCUACCACGAGAGAAAUCGUAUUAAAGGAGAGAGAAAAGGCGAUAGAAAUCCGUCACGUCUCUUACGCGGCAACAACUGCAUCGCAUUAUUAGUCACCAGCUGCAUUCUUCACCUUAUUAUCAAUUUGAAAUCGUGGUAAACUAGGCCGUCGUGCUCUGGUCGUGCUGCACUGCUGCUUUUGGUUGCUGUAUCGUUGACGGCUGGGUCGACCACUGGUGUACUAAUGUCUCCUGCGCAUGGCGGAUACCAAAACACAACGUCGCCGUCUUACUACACCAACAACAUACGCAACAACCGGUUAUUACAACACCAAGGGUCCAGAUAAUUACACCACAGCUACCGCAGCUACUACACCGAAGCCCCGAAAUAUUAUUCUUCUUCCCCGAGCUACACCACCAAGGCACUUGAGAACUACACGACUACGUAUGCUACACCAGCCUACUACACCGAUGCUACCAAUUUCUACUCUGCUUCCAGCUACUACACCGAUUCUCCAGCUAAGUUCACCACCAAAACGGUCGAAUACUACAUAGAAGCGCCCAAGUACGAUAGAAAUCAGUCCAAUGAGCAUCUCCGACACCCGACACGGCAACAGCUGCGGCGGAGUAUUCGUUACUAACUGCAUUCUUCGUCAUAUUAUCAGUACGCAAUUAUGGUUAACCAUGGGGUCGUGCUGCUGUUGUGUGUUGCGUCGUUGAUGGCUGGGUCGACCACUUGUGUAUCGAUGUCUUCUUGGUAUGGCGGAUACCAAACCGCAACGCCACCGCCUUACUACCCUAAAGCAACUUACGCAACGACCAGUUCCUGCAACGAGGUCUUCAAGUGUUCCUAGUUCUGCUACUACACCACUAAAGCACCGGAGUUUUAUAGCACAACUUACGCUGCCCCGAGCCACCACACUGACGCCAUGAAGUUUUACUCUGCCCCGAGUUACUACACCACCAAGGCGACGUAGCAUGACUACGCAUGCUGCCCCAUCCUACUACACCGAAGCUCCUAACUGCUACACCGAGACUCCCGCUGAUUACUACACCGAAGCGGCAAAGUACUACUCUGCCCCGAUCUACACAACCACAACUGAGGCGGCCAAGUAUUACGCUGCCCCGACUCACUGCACAGAAGCUGCUCUUUCGUACUACGUUGAACAGAAAUACUACACCGAUGCUCCAGUUCGCUACACCACGGCCUACGCAACACCACAGCCUCCAAGUACUACACCGAAGACGCCGCCUACAACAACGUAUGCUGCCUAGUUUACUACACCGAUGCUCCAAGUACUUCAUCACUAAGGCGUCGGAAUUCUACACGUCUAUGUAUGCUGCCCCUGCCUACUCCAUCGAGGCCCCGCAUUACUACAACACUGAAGCGCUCAAGUGCUACACUACAACCUGCGCUGCCCCGAGCUACUACACCUACGUCCCGGAGUAUUACUGUGCGUAAAAGGAGUCGUAAGAAAAAAGAAGUGCCCUAACUGCAGUGCCCUAUCUGUCACCAACUGCAUUCCUCAUCGUGUAACCGAUUCGCAAUUAUGGUCAACUAUGGCGUCGUGCUCCUGUUGGGUGUUGUAUCGUUGAUGGCUGGGUUGACUGCUGGUGUAGCGAUGUCUCCUUGGUAUGGCGGAAACUGAACCGCAACGCCGCCGCCUUCCUACACAACUAACGCAACAACCAGUUCCUGCGUCGAUGUCUUCAAUUACUACACCACCAAAGCACCGUAGUUUUAUAGCACAACUUACGCUGCCCCGAGCCACUACACUGAUGCCCUGAAGUAUUACUCUCCCUGAGUUACUACUCCAUCUAGGCGACGGAGUACUACGUGACUACGCAUGCUGCCACAUCCUACUACACCGAGGCUUCUAA